rnacentral:rRNA from 1 species
AGAGUUUGAUCCUGGCUCAGGAUGAACGCUGGCGGCAUGCCUAACACAUGCAAGUCGAUCGGUAAGGCUCUUCGGAGUACACGAGAGGCGGACGGCUGAGUAACGCGUAGGAACACACCCUGCAGUGAGGGAUAAGACACCGAAAGGUGUUCUAAUACCGCAUACGGUCUUCGGAUUAAAGCAUUUAUGCGCUGAAGGAGUGGCCUGCGUCAUAUUAGAUAGUUGGUGAGGUAAUGGCUUACCAAGUCGAUGAUGUGUAGCUGGUCUGAGAGGAUGAUCAGUCAGACUGGAACUGAGACACGGUCCAGACUCCUACGGGAGGCAGCAGUGAGGAAUAUUUCACAAUGAGCGAAAGCUUGAUGGAGCAAUGCCGCGUGCAGGAUGAAGGCCCUCGGGUUGUAAACUGCUUUUAUAAGAGAAGAUUAUGACGGUAACUUAUGAAUAAGGGACGGCUAACUACGUGCCAGCAGCCGCGGUCAUACGUAGGUCCCGAGCGUUAUCCGGAGUGACUGGGCGUAAAGAGUUGCGUAGGCGGUCAAGUUAGCGAGCGAUGAAAACUAUCGGCUCAACCGAUAGCUUGUUGUUCGAACUGCUUGACUCGAGAGUAUCAGAGGUCGCUGGAAUUCCUAGUGUAGCAGUGAAAUGCGUAGAUAUUAGGAAGAACACCGAUGGCGUAGGCAGGCGACUGGGAUAUUUCUGACGCUAAGGCACGAAAGCGUGGGUAGCGAACCGGAUUAGAUACCCGGGUAGUCCACGCCGUAAACGAUGGAUGCUAAUUGUUUGAGGUAUCGACCCCUCGAGUAAUAAAGCUAACGCGUUAAGCAUCCCGCCUGUGGAGUACGGCCGCAAGGCUAAAACAUAAAGGAAUUGACGGGGACCCGCACAAGCGGUGGAUCGUGUUCUUUA